rnacentral:sRNA from 1 species
CUUUCUCCGGGAUCUUAAGUGUGGGGGCUGCUGGCUGGGGGGCCCGUCCGGCCCAACGCCGGAGGCUUGGAAAAGAGAGUUGGCAGCGGGAGCGGACUACGUGCCGGGCCAUGGCCCUUCUGCCCGGGCCCUGGCCACAAUGACCUCCUUGCCUUGCCCUCUCCCCGGCCGGGACGCCUCCAAAGCUGUCUUCCCAGACCUCGCCCCCGUCCCGUCGGUAGCGGCUGCCUACCCGCUUGGCCUGUCCCCUACAACCGCAGCCUCCCCCAAUUUGUCCUACUCCAGGCCGUAUGGCCACCUCCUGUCUUACCCCUACACCGAGCCAGCGAACCCUGGAGACUCCUACCUGUCCUGCCAGCAACCCGCGGCGCUCUCUCAGCCCCUCUGCGGACCUGCAGAGCACCCUCAGGAACUCGAGGCAGCAUUCUAGGGCUGGGCUGUCCCGCGGCCGAGAUUCCUGGAGAGCUAGGCGGGCCAGAGCUGACCAGAUCCCCCGCGGCGGCACCGCAGCGCGAUCCAGGAGUGGCCCCGCCGGGCUGCGCUGCGCGCUCUUGGAACCCGGGUCACCUUCCCUGCCGCCGGAACCGCUCUGUGCGCGCUGACCAACGAAGGAAGGGGCUGCCCCACGCAGACCCGGCUUCUG